rnacentral:rRNA from 1 species
CCGGGAAAGGCCUAGCGUGUGCCUGGAGAUUAGAGUUUGAUCCUGGCUCAGAUUGAACGCUGGCGGCAGGCUUAACACAUGCAAGUCGAGCGGUAACAGGAAUUAGCUUGCUAAUUUGCUGACGAGCGGCGGACGGGUGAGUAACGCGUAGGAAUCUGCCUGGUAGUGGGGGACAACAUGUGGAAACGCAUGCUAAUACCGCAUACGCCCUACGGGGGAAAGGAGGGGAUCUUCGGACCUUUCGCUAUCAGAUGAGCCUGCGUGAGAUUAGCUAGUUGGUGGGGUAAAGGCUCACCAAGGCGACGAUCUCUAGCUGGUCUGAGAGGAUGAUCAGCCACACUGGGACUGAGACACGGCCCAGACUCCUACGGGAGGCAGCAGUGGGGAAUAUUGGACAAUGGGCGCAAGCCUGAUCCAGCCAUGUCGCGUGUGUGAAGAAGGCCUUCGGGUUGUAAAGCACUUUCAGAAGUGAGGAAGGGUGUGUAGUUAAUACCUACAUAUCUUGACGUUAGCUUCAGAAGAAGCACCGGCUAACUCUGUGCCAGCAGCCGCGGUAA